rnacentral:rRNA from 1 species
GACGAACCGUGCGAACGUUAUUCGGAAUCACUGGGCUUAAAGCGCGUGUAGGCGGAUGGGAACGUCGGUCGCUGAAAUCCCCCGGCUCAACCGGGGAACGGGCGCCGAAACGACCCGUCUGGAGGGACGUAGGGGGACCUGGAACUUCCGGUGGAGCGGUGAAAUGCGUUGAGAUCGGAAGGAACGCCCGUGGCGAAGCGAGGUCCUGGACGUCUACUG